GGAAGUAGUGAAGCUGCGGCCCCUUCCUGUCGAGAAAAGCCGCUAUCGUGUAGCAAGGGCCCGUACCGUAAACCGACACAGGUGGAUGAGGAGAGGAUCCUAAGGCCGGCGGGAGAAGUGUUGUUAAGGAACUCGGCAAAAUGACUCCGUAACUUCGGGAGGAGGAGUGCUGCGCAAGCAGCCGCAGAGAAAUGGCCCAAGCAACUGUUUAGCAAAAACACAGGUCUAUGCGAAACCGGAAGGUGAGGUAUAUGGGCUGACGCCUGCCCGGUGCUGGAAGGUUAAGGGGAGAGCUUAGCAUAAGCGAAGGUUUGAACUUAAGCCCCAGUAAACGGCGGCCGUAACGAUAACGGUCCUAAGGUAGCGAAAUUCCUUGUCGGGUAAGUUCCGACCCGCACGAAAGGCGUAAUGAUUUGGGCACUGUCUCAACAACACACCCGGUGAAAUUGAAAUACCAGUGAAGAUGCUGGUUACCCGCGCCAGGACGGAAAGACCCCAUGGAGCUUUACUCCAGCCUGAUACUGGGAUUCGGUAUUGCAUGUACAGGAUAGGUGGGAGGCUAAGAACUUAUGGCGCCAGCCGUAAGGGAGCCGAUGUCGGGAUACCACCCCUGCAGUACUGGGUUUCUAACCUGCGCCCGUGACCCGGGCGGGGGACAAUGUCAGGCGGGAGUUUGACUGGGGCGGUCGCCUCCGAAAGGGUAUCGGAGGCGCUCAAAGGUCUCCUCAGGAUGGUUGGAAACCAUCCAGAGAGUGCAAAGGCAGAAGGAGGCUUGACUGCGACACCGACGGGUGGAGCAGGUACGAAAGUAGGACUUAGUGAUCCGGUGGCAUAAAGUGGGAUUGCCAUCGCUCAACGGAUAAAAGCUACCCUGGGAUAACAGGCUUAUCACUCCCAAGAGUUCACAUCGACGGAGUGGUUUGGCACCUCGAUGUCGGCUCAUCGCAUCCUGGAGCUGGAGCAGGUUCCAAGGGUUGGGCUGUUCGCCCAUUAAAGCGGUACGCGAGCUGGGUUCAGAACGUCGUGAGACAGUUCGGUCCCUAUCCGGCGCGGGCGCAGGAUAUCUGAGAGGAGCUGUCCUUAGUACGAGAGGACCGGGAUGGACCGUCCGCUGGUGGACCGGUUGUCAUGCCAAUGGCACGGCCGGGUAGCCAAGACGGGAAGGGAUAAACGCUGAAGGCAUCUAAGCGUGAAGCCCCCCUCAAGAUGAGAUAUCCAUACUCGAAAGAGUGAGAGACCCCUUAGAGACGAUGAGGUAGAUAGGGCAGAGAUGGAAGCACAGCGAUGUGUGGAGUUGACUGUUACUAAUCGGUCGAAAGCUUGAU
rnacentral:rRNA from 1 species